CAGUUGAAUACCAUAAAGACUCGAUGUGGACAAAUGGGCAGAGUACGGCCACUUCAAUCAUAUGCCUUUUUUUGGGGGGUUAGGAAUUGCACUUGAGGAGGUUGAAAAGGUUACUGCUCUGGAAUUGAUGGAAAGCAAAACUGGAAAGCUCCACCACCAUAAGGAGUUUUAGAUGUCCCUUAAUCCAUAACCUAAUUUUUCUCAUAAUUGAGUAGUAAUUACAUUUUGUUUAUAUUCCAUAACUGAAAAUUUCAUCCGUAAACCUCAUUUAUUUUCCUUAUUAGUUCAUUUUCCUAGGUAGUAAAUGAGUUUUUUUUUGUAUUUAAAUGAGAGAUAAUAUCUCAAAAAAAAAAAAGAGAAAAUAAAUAUAUUGUGUGUGUAUUUCUUUGAGUAAAAAAAUAAAAAUUUCUGGAGUCCUAUGCUAUGACAUUAUCACAGAAAGAAAACAUACGGUGCUAGUGUGUGAUUGACAUCAGGAAAUUAAAGUGUUUAAAUAAUUCAAAAUGAAAUGUCAAUAUAAAAAAAAUAGGAAAAAUGCAUAAGUACCCGUUGACCUAUAGUCGGAUUUUCAACUACACAUUUUAUCUUUGCAGGAAUGCUAUUAUCCCUAGAACUAUUUUUAAAUGAAAUUAGUAUACUCUUAGUGCUUAUGUGACAGAAGAGAGUGUAUGCCACCCUGCUUCAGAGCGAGAAAGAGAGAAUGCUGAAAAUUUAUUUUUAUAAGUAACAUUUUUAUAAAAUAUACUAUUUUCUAUUAUUUUUUUCUUUUCUCUUAUUUUUCUUUUUCUUUUCCUUUUCUUUCCUCCUGCUUUGUAACUUAUAGAUUGGCCGGGAACUAGCUCUAGCAUUCUCCAUUUUUCCGGCGAGAUCGAGUUAGAAAAUUUUAUUCUUUCCUCUCCAUAUUUCACUACAUUUUAUAGAGGAUUACUGCAAUUUCUAAUCUCUUUACUCACCACUUUUAAACUUACAAUUGCAAUUGCUUCUCAUAGAAAGAAAUGAAAAAAUCUCAUCCAAGAUCAAUUUCUGAUUAAAUCCAGAAGAAGCCCACAAAAGAUUGAACAAGAAGAAGGUUUUUGAUUGUUAGUUGCAAAAAAUAUUCUCGUCAUGCUCGUCGUUUCCCGAUGAGGCCUUCAUCCUUUCACUACUUCAGGUAAUGAGGUGGGGGAGGGGAGUCCUAUUUUUUAAAUUAAUCAAUUUUACAUAAAAGAUAGAACAAGGAAAAAGAAUUUGGUUGUUGAUUGUUGAUUGCUAGAAAGUUUUUUAGGAACUCACCGUUUUUCGAUCUGUUUCUUCAACCAAAACAAAUCUGCUGCUUCACUUGUGGGUUGGGGGAUGGAAGAAGGUGGGAUG
rnacentral:lncRNA from 1 species